rnacentral:rRNA from 1 species
UACAGAGGUCUCAAGCGUUGUUCGGAUUCAUUGGGCGUAAAGGGUGUGUAGGUGGCGCGCUAAGUCGGGUGUGAAAUUUCGGAGCUUAACUCCGAAACUGCAUUCGAUACUGGCGUGCUUGAGGACUGGAGAGGAGACUGGAAUUACGGUGUAGCGGUGAAAUGCGUAGAUAUCGUAAGGAAGACCAGUGGCGAAGGCGGGCCUCUGGACAGUUCCUGACGCUGAGGCACGAAGGUCAGGGGAGCAAACGGG